GAAAUGCGAUAAUUAAUGUGAAUUGCAGAAUUCAGUGAAUCAUCGAGUCUUUGAACGCACAUUGCGCCCCCUGGUAUUCCGGGGGGCAUGCCUGUCCGAGCGUCAUUGCUGCCCUCAAGCACGGCUUGUGUGUUGGGCUUCCGUCCCUGGCAACGGGGACGGGCCCAAAAGGCAGUGGCGGCACCAUGUCAGGUCCUCGAGCGUAUGGGGCUUUGUCACCCGCUCCCGUAGGUCCAGCUGGCAGCUAGCCUCGCAACCAAUCUUUUUAACCAGGUUGACCUCGGAUCAGGUAGGGAUACCCGCUGAACUUAAGC
rnacentral:misc_RNA from 1 species